CCCCUUUCGCCGCCGGCCGCUGGCCCCUAUAUUGGUCCUGUCUUCGGACUAUGGCGAUAAACGCGCGUGCAAUAAGCGGAUCGGACCCGGGGGCGGUACCCGGCGGCUCCACCACAA
rnacentral:tmRNA from 1 species